GCUUGUCUCAAGACUAAGCCAUGCAUGUCUAAGUAUAAACGCUUCUAUACUGUGAAACUGCGAAUGGCUCAUUAAAUCAGUUAUAGUUUAUUUGAUGGUUCCUUACUACUUGGAUAACCGUAGUAAUUCUAGAGCUAAUACAUGCAGAAAGUCCCGACUUCUUGGAAGGGAUGUAUUUAUUAGAUCCAAAACCAGCGCGAGUUUCCUUCGGGGGCUCGGUUGCAUGGUGAUUCAUGAUAACUGCUCGAAUCGCAUGGCCUUGCGCCGGCGAUGAUCCAUUCAAAUUUCUGCCCUAUCAACUUUCGAUGGCAAGGUAGUGGCUUGCCAUGGUGACAACGGGUGACGGAGAAUUAGGGUUCGAUUCCGGAGAGGGAGCCUGAGAAACGGCUACCACAUCCAAGGAAGGCAGCAGGCGCGCAAAUUACCCAAUCCCGACUCGGGGAGGUAGUGACAAUAAAUAACAAUGCUGGGCUAUCGUAGUCUGGCAAUUGGAAUGAGUACAAUCUAAACCCCUUAACGAGGAACAAUUGGAGGGCAAGUCUGGUGCCAGCAGCCGCGGUAAUUCCAGCUCCAAUAGCGUAUAUUAAAGUUGUUGCAGUUAAAAAGCUCGUAGUUGGAUUUCGGGGCAGCCCGGCUGGUCCGUCGCGAGGCGAGUACUGGUCGGCCGCCCUUCCUCUCGAAAGCCCCGACUGCUCUUCACUGUAGUGGUCGGGGAGUUCGGGACGUUUACUUUGAAAAAAUUAGAGUGUUCAAGGCAGGCCAUCGCCUGAAUACAUUAGCAUGGAAUAAUGGAAGAGGACCUCGGUCCUAUUUUGUUGGUUUCUAGGGCCGAAGUAAUGAUUAAGAGGGACAGUUGGGGGCAUUCGUAUUUAAUUGUCAGAGGUGAAAUUCUCGGAUUUAUGAAAGACGAACAACUGCGAAAGCAUUUGCCAAGGAUGUUUUCAUUAAUCAAGAACGAAAGUUAGGGGUUCGA
rnacentral:rRNA from 1 species